UUCUAUGGGGUGUUUUGCACAACUCUUUUUCGUGGGGUGGGAAGAUAGAAG
rnacentral:tRNA from 1 species